AUUGAACGCUGGCGGCAGGCCUAACACAUGCAAGUCGAGCGGAUGAAGGGAGCUUGCUCCUGGAUUCAGCGGCGGACGGGUGAGUAAUGCCUAGGAAUCUGCCUGGUAGUGGGGGAUAACGUCCGGAAACGGGCGCUAAUACCGCAUACGUCCUGAGUGAGAAAGUGGGGGAUCUUCGGACCUCACGCUAUCAGAUGAGCCUAGAUCGGAUUAGCUAGUUGGUGGGGUAAAGGCCUACCAAGGCGACGAUCCGUAACUGGUCUGAGAGGAUGAUCAGUCACACUGGAACUGAGACACGGUCCAGACUCCUACGGGAGGCAGCAGUGGGGAAUAUUGGACAAUGGGCGAAAGCCUGAUCCAGCCAUGCCGCGUGUGUGAAGAAGGUCUUCGGAUUGUAAAGCACUUUAAGUUGGGAGGAAGGGCAGUAAGUUAAUACCUUGCUGUUUUGACGUUACCAACAGAAUAAGCACCGGCUAACUUCGUG
rnacentral:rRNA from 1 species